UACAGAGGUCUCAACCGUUAUUCGGAUUCACUGGGCGUAAAGGGUGCGCAGGCGGUCGGGUGUGUCAGAUGUGAAAUCCCGAGGCUCAACCUCGGAACUGCGUCUGAAACUACUCGACUAGAGUACUGGAGAGGGUAACGGAAUUCACGGUGUAGCAGUGAAAUGCGUAGAUAUCGUGAGGAACACCAGAGGCGAAGGCGGUUACCUGGACAGUUACUGACGCUCAGGCACGAAAGCAUGGGGAGCAAAAGGG
rnacentral:rRNA from 1 species